AGUGCGAUCCUGGCUCAGGAGAACGCUGGCGGCAUGCUAACACAUGCCGUCGAACGGGAAGUGGUGUUUCAGUUGGAGAACGGGUGAGUAACGCGUAAGAACCGCCUUGGGAGGGGCAACAAUGGAAAACGGUUGCUAAUUACCCCGUAGGCGAGGAGCAAAAGGAGCCGAAAUCCGCCAAGGAGGGCUCGCGUCUGAUUAGCUAGUUGGUGAGGCAAUUAGCUUACCAAGGCGAUGAUCAGUAGCUGGUCCGAGAGGAUGAUCAGCCACAACUGGGACUGAGGACACGCCCAGACUCCUACGGGAGGCAAGCAGUGGGGAUUUUCGCAAUGGGCGAAAGCCUGACGGAGGCAAUGCCGCGUGGAGGUGGAAGGCCGACGGGUCGUCAUUAUUUCUCGGAGAAGAAACAAGGACGGUAUCUGAGGAUAAGCAUCGGUAACUCUGUGCCAGCAGCCGACGGUAAGACAGAGGAUGCAAGCGUUUAUCCGGAAUGAUUGGGCGUAAAGCAGUCUGUAGGUGGCUUGUCAAGUCCGCCUCAAAUCCAGGCUCAACCUGGACAGGCGGUUGGAAACUACCAGCUGGAGUACGGUAGGGCAGAGGGAAAUUUCCGGUGGAGCGGUGAAAGCAUGAGAUCGGAAAGAACACCAACGGCGAAAGCACUCUGCUGGGCCGACACUGAACCUGAGAGACGAAAGCUAGGGGAGCAAAGGGGCUUAGAGACCCCAGUAGUCAUAGCCGUAAUAACGAUGGAUACUAGGUGCUGGCGCUGACCCGUGCAGUGCGUAGCUUAACGCGUAAGUAUCCCGCCUGGGGAGUACGUCGCAAGAAUGAAACUCAAAGGAAUUGACGGGGCCCGCACAAGCGGUGGCGCAUCGUGGUUAAUUCGAUGCAAAGCGAGAACCUUACCGGCUUGACAUGCCGGAAUCCUCUUGAAGAGAGGGGUGCCUCGGGAACGCGGACACAGGGGGUGCAUGGCUGUCGUCAGCUCGUUGCCGUAGGUUGGUUAAGUCUCGCAACGAGCGCAACCCUCGUGGUAGUUGGCCCCACUAUGAGUUGGGAACCCUGAACAGCCCGCCGGUGUUAAGCCGGAGGAAGGAGAGGAUGAGGCCAAGUAAUCAUGCCCCUAUGCCCUGGGCGACACACGUGCUACAAUGGGCGGGACAAAGGGUCGCGAUCUCGCGAGGGUGAGCUAACUCCAAAAACCCGUAACGCAGUUCGGCUUUGCCAGGCUGCAAACUCGCCUGCAUUAAGCAGGAAUCGCU
rnacentral:rRNA from 1 species